GUCAAGUGAAUAAGUGCAUGUGGUGGAUGCCUUGGCGACUACAGGCGAUGAAGGACGUUGCAGCCUGCGAUAAGCCACGGGGAGCUGGCAAGCGAGCUUUGAUCCGUGGAUUUCCGAAUGGGGAAACCCGGG
rnacentral:rRNA from 1 species